GAUAGCUCAGUUGGUUAGAGCUUGGUGAUGAUAAUGCCAAGGUUGCUGGUUCGAUCCCUGUAAAGGAUAGCUGCA